UUGGGGGCACCGAGGAUAUCAUAGAGCUAAUGUGCAGCUCAUUAAUAAAUAAAUGUUGAAGUUCCUGGCGAAAAAUCACUAAGCACUUGGAAAUUUAAUGUGUGACAGAAGAAUGAUUAAGAGUAAAAUGUGUUAAUGGAGAUCCUUUUUUUUGGUUUAUUAGAUGUAAUGGAUAUUCCUUUUUUUGGAGGGAUGAUAGUUUUUUUCCAUUUUCCUGACCUGGAGAUGUACUUGUAUGAAAAAUGUACCUAUUGUUUUGGGUCUUUCCUUGAGCAUGUUAUGUGUUUUUCCUUCUUUCUUAGAAGUUGAAAAUCCGUAGUGGUCUUCUAUUUAUAUGAACACAUGCUUUGUGUUAAUGUAUUUAACUGUUUAUUUAUGCAGUACCACUUGCUAAUGAAUAUUACGGUUUUAAUGGGAUGAUGUCUUGUAACCAUAUUUUAUGGUGGAACUAAAGAACCUAGCUUUGUUGCAUAUAAUCUGUACAUUUGUGGAUAUUAAAGGGCAAGGGCUCAAAUUAACUUCAUAAACAAGGAAGCAAACUACCUGAUUUAACAUGCAUUUGAAUUUGGUUUCUGAUACUGCUGCAUUAACAUUCCUUGUGCAGGAUGAAACAAAUAGCCCACAAGACGGUUCAUGAUAGCAGUUAAUGGACAAUAUGGUUGAAAAAUAGGCUGUAUUACAGAGUAAAUAGCAUUUUUUGGUGAAUAGAGUUGUAACAAACAUAUUACAGGGUUUCGAGGUUCCUUCAGUUUUUUCUUUCAAUGGCUUCUAGCUCUCAUAGAGGCGGUGAUUUCUACGGUGCUGCUUCCUACAGAUCCAGAGAUGGAUUGAGUACGAGGCAAGUAGGUGGUUCAGAUGAGAUACAGGUGCGGAUUGAUCCGAUGCACGG